rnacentral:rRNA from 1 species
CUACGGGACGCACCGGUGAGGAAUUUUGCGCAAUGGGCGAAAGCCUGACGCAGCAACGCCGCGUGAGUGAUGAAGGCCUUCGGGUCGUAAAGCUCUGUCAAGUGGGAAGAACCUAUGUAAUGUUAAUAUCAUUAUAUACUGACGGUACCACUGAAGGAAGCACCGGCUAACUCCGUGCCAGCAGCCGCGGUAAUACGGGGGGUGCAAGCGUUAUUCGGAAUCAUGGGGCGUAAAGGGCACGUAGGCGGCCUGGUAAGUCAGAUGUGAAAGCCCGGGGCUUAACCCCGGAAGUGCAUUUGAUACUGUCAGGCUUGAGUAUGGGAGAGGGAAGUGGAAUUCCUGGUGUAGAGGUGAAAUUCGUAGAUAUCAGGAGGAACACCGGUGGCGAAGGCGACUUCCUGGACCAAUACUGACGCUGAGGUGCGAAGGCGUGGGUAGCAAACAGGAUUAGAUACCCGCGUAGUC